GGCCUUGGGAAGAGGAUGUGAGGCUGAGGAAGGUUAGAGCUGAGUAGGAAGUCAAAUGGCAGGACACAUGGAGAACAGAGGAGACUAAAUCUUUCAGAUGUGAAAUCCCAGAGAAAAGGCAACAUUUAUCCACAUCCAAAUCACCCCACCCCUGCUUCUUCAGCUAACCUUCAGGAAUGGUUUGGGAUCAUUGGUGUUUUCUUACACGAUUUCUACUUGAUGACUACCCAUCAAGGUAGUAGCAUUGGCCCACUACCUACAAGUGUUCAGGAUGAGACAUUCAGGAAGAAUUUGAGUGGAGCAAAGUCCUAGAGAAGUAUAGACUCCUAGCCAAGGAUUGGAGAACUUGAUUAGCUAGUUUUGAAAGUUCUGUGGAAAUAUAAGAGACUCCAAGAAGAUAAAAGAAUCUUAAAGUAAAGAAAAAUGUUGAAGACUCAUUUCCUGACUUAAAAUUUUACCAUAAGGCUCCAAGAUAUUCAGUCUUGCCAUCUUCUCUCCUACAAACUCAACUGAUGAUCAUCCAACUUCACAGAGAAGUGAGAAGCCAAAAUAGAAGUCAACUAGCUUUACUAAUUCUCUGUCAUUCAAUUAUCAACCUCGAAUUAUAACCACCUCACUUUCUUUGUUUCUGUGAUGCUAAA